UACGUAGGGGGCAAGCGUUGUCCGGAAUCAUUGGGCGUAAAGCGCGCGUAGGCGGCCAGAUAAGUCCGGUGUGAAAGUCCAGGGCUCAACCCUGGAAUGCCGGUGGAUACUGUCGGGCUCGAGUCCGGAAGAGGCGAGUGGAAUUCCUGGUGUAGCGGUGAAAUGCGCAGAUAUCAGGAGGAACACCGAUGGCGAAGGCAGCUCGCUGGGACGGUACUGACGCUGAGACGCGAAAGCGUGGGGAGCAAACAGG
rnacentral:rRNA from 1 species